GGCCUGGUGCGCCUGGCCCGCCACCUCAAGUGGUGAGUGCCGGAGCGUGCCUGCCAUCCUUCUAGACAACGUAGCUACCCUUCACUGGGCCGGUUACGUCAGCUAGAUCUUUUACUUUGAAAAAAUUAGAGUGUUUAAAGCAGGCUAUGUUUGCUAUGAAUACAUUAGCAUGGAAUAAUAAUUUAGGACUUCGGUUCUAUUUUGUUGGUCUCUUCUAGGACUGAAGUA
rnacentral:rRNA from 1 species